CAAGUGAUCCUCCUGCCUCAGUCUCCUAAGAGUGCUAGGAUUACAGAUGGCUUCAGGAGUCCCUGAAUCGUGUAUGUUUUGGCAUAAACCUACCCACAGGACCUUCAAGAGGUCUUAUUCCUAAGCAAAUGCAAUAAAACAAAAUGAACGAGUCCUUGGCACCAGCUGGAAUUGUCUCCAAACCCAACAUUGAGGCCUGAUGCACUUUUCAAAGAUGGAAGCCACCAGGGAGCCUCAUUAAAACGUGUUAAAUCUGAUGGCAACUGCUCACAGGGGUAUGCAACUAAAGAUUAGAAUACCCAACUUUGGGCAUCCCUUAAUAAAGCUUGAAUGUCACCUCCAGAUGAAGCUACCCAAAUGGAAUGAGGCAUCUAAACAGAAGAACCACGUGGGGUCCAUCUGGGGUGGCUCCCCAGAGGACACAUCUUACAAAGGAAAUCUGAAGGGGUAAGAGAGGCAAUUUAGUGGCUGGGAGAGUGAGGGUUUGGACAAAGCUCUGAUUAAGGAGCAAUUCUCCUGAGGCAUGCUAGGGUUUCAACACAGGGUUCAGAGUGGCCUGCACAUUCCUCUGCCCUGGGCUGCUCUCCAGGCCCCUCCCCUGCCACUGCCCCUGAGGAGAGCCUAGCAGCCAAUGGCCACAUUAUUAA